rnacentral:rRNA from 1 species
CCUAGGGGUGCUGCAGUGGGGAAUAUUGGACAAUGGGCGAAAGCCUGAUCCAGCCAUGCCGCGUGUGUGAAGAAGGCCUUCGGGUUGUAAAGCACUUUCAGUGGGGAAGAAAGCCUUGGGGCUAAUACCCUCGAGGAAGGACAUCACCCACAGAAGAAGCACCGGCUAACUCCGUGCCAGCAGCCGCGGUAAUACGGAGGGUGCGAGCGUUAAUCGGAAUUACUGGGCGUAAAGCGCGCGUAGGCGGUCUGAUAAGCCGGUUGUGAAAGCCCCGGGCUCAACCUGGGAACGGCAUCCGGAACUGUCAGGCUAGAGUGCAGGAGAGGAAGGUAGAAUUCCCGGUGUAGCGGUGAAAUGCGUAGAGAUCGGGAGGAAUACCAGUGGCGAAGGCGGCCUUCUGGACUGACACUGACGCUGAGGUGCGAAAGCGUGGGUAGCAAACAGGAUUAGAUACCCGAGUAGUC